CGCCUGGGUUCCACUUCCAGCAGCAGCUCCUGUGGCAAUACCAAGUGCCCUGGGGAAGCCAUCCCCCACCCACCGGCUUUCCCCAAGGCUGACCCAGGUCACUGGUGGGCCAGCUUAUUUUUCGGGAAGUCCACCCUCCUGUUCAUGGCCACGGUGUUGGAGUUGGUAGAGCACCCGGAACCCCCCAGGCCUGCAGCAGCAUGACCACCUGGGGCCUGGCUCGGGAAACCCCGAGGAAGCAGCCCGGUGGCCGGUCCAGCACAGCCCCAUCCUGGACCCCUGU
rnacentral:lncRNA from 1 species